rnacentral:lncRNA from 1 species
UUUUCCCGCAAUUGCCUUCAAGUUUGUGAAUAAAUACUCUCCAUUCCUAGCUUGAAUACAAUAGUUUGGAAAAUUGAGCUACUAAAGCCUUUGGUAAGUUUUAUAUAUCAAUUUACUCUCCAACUUCUCUUCGAUGAAGUGUUUGUUAAUUUAAAUGUGCUUUGUUUGGUCAUGUUCUAUUGGGUUGUGAGCUAUACUGAUUGCAGGUUUGCUGUCCCAAUAAUUUCAUAGGACCAUCCCACUUAAUUUUCAAAUAUUUUAAGAAUGAUCUUCAACCAAAGUAGUUCGCACAUACCUUGAGCCAUUGCUCAAAAUUCAGCCUUUUUACUUGACUGAGCUACUACACUUUAUUUUUUACUUUUUCAUGUCACUAGACUCCCAUCAAAGAAGGUGCAAAAUCUUGCGAUUGAUCUUCUAUCAACAAUUGAUCUAGCAUAAUCAACAUCAAUGUAUUUGUUACAAAUUGAUUAAUUAUGCAGCAGCUCGAACACAUGAUGAAUCGCGAAGUGACAAGCUGUGAGAUGAACUGUGAAAUGACAGUGGCGAAGUGCGAGAUGUCUUUGGAAGUGGCGAGAUGUAGCUGAAGCCUUGGUGCAUGCAGGUUUCAUCAAGUUGCAUGGCAGACUAGUUUAGUUCAUUUGGAACUUAGUUUUGUUAUGUUUACAGCUUAGUUAGUUGAUGCAUUAAGAUAGCUUAGUGGGGUUAGUUGAGUAUUUGGUGAUGUAUUCGACUUUAAAUGUUUUGUUUUCUUGUUGAAUGAUAGAGCUAAUAGAUACAAGCUCCUUCGCUGCACGUUUUUGCUUCUUGUUCUCUGUUUUUCUUUGACAAUAUCACCAACAAUUGGAAUCAAAAGUCUCUCAUCUUUGAGGGUUACUGUUUUUGUUUGUAUUUUCUUGUCAAGAAAGAAAGAACCAACUUUGUUUCUUUGUUGUAGCUGCUAACAUGUCUUUAGGGAGUUUUUCACCACCACCACCUCUUGUCUUUGUUGGAGAGAACUAUCAUAUUUGGGUAGUCAAGAUGAAGACUUACCUCCUGGCCUUUGACUUGUG